rnacentral:rRNA from 1 species
UACGGAGGGGGCUAGCGUUGUUCGGAAUUACUGGGCGUAAAGCGCGCGUAGGCGGACCUGCAAGUCGGGGGUGAAAGCUCGAGGCUCAACCUCGGAACUGCCUUCGAUACUGCGGGUCUCGAGUCCGGGAGAGGUGAGUGGAAUUCCUAGUGUAGAGGUGAAAUUCGUAGAUAUUCGCAAGAACACCAGUGGCGAAGGCGGCUCACUGGCCCGAUACUGACGCUGAGGCACGAAAGCGUGGGGAGCAAACAGG